UAUGGAUUCGAGGAUCCGUGUAACGACCUCGUCUAGGAGCAAAGUUUAUUCUGAUGAGACCACAUCGUCACCGAGAAUAAGUGUAGCCGAUGACUAUUACUGGAGAAGGUCUUGUGACUCCGAAAGCUCUAUUUACGAAGCCGUUCUUCAUUGCAAGAAAUCAUUCGAGAAAUGAGAAGAAUACAUGGAGGAGGAGCAGGUAGAAGUAGUAGAGAUGGAGAAUAUUAAGCUUAAGAGAAUAAGCAAAUUGCAUUAACACGUUACACCUGGAGUGGGAGAAAGAGAGAGAGCAACUUGUGAUGUGUCUUUUUGUUGUUUCUCUCUCUUGAAUUAAAGAGAUUGAUGUGAAUGAUCCAUGUGAAUGUGUCAUCUGAUGUGGAUCAAGAAUGUUUUUGUUUUUUUACAUGAGUGGGCACAUUUAUAAAAAUAUAUAUAUGGGGCUGCAAGCAGAAUCAAGAAAAUAUUUUCAGAUUUUCUUGGCUAUUUUUUUCUCCAUAUAUUUGAGAGCCAUGAAAGUUAAAUAGUUUCUUUUUAUAUAUUAUGGAAGUAAAACUAUAAGUGACUGCCUACCCAUGUUUACUU